AUUGAACGCUGCGGCAGGCUUAACACAUGCAAGUCGAGCGGGGGAGAUUGCUUCGGUAAUUGACCUAGCGGCGAACGGGUGAGUAAUACUUAGGAAUCUGCCUAUUAAUGGGGGACAACAUCUCGAAAGGGAUGCUAAUACCGCAUACGCCCUACGGGGGAAAGCAGGGGAUCACUUGUGACCUUGCGUUAAUAGAUGAGCCUAAGUCGGAUUAGCUAGUUGGUGGGGUAAAGGCCUACCAAGGCGACGAUCUGUAGCGGGUCUGAGAGGAUGAUCCGCCACACUGGGACUGAGACACGGCCCAGACUCCUACGGGAGGCAGCAGUGGGGAAUAUUGGACAAUGGGGGGAACCCUGAUCCAGCCAUGCCGCGUGUGUGAAGAAGGCCUUAUGGUUGUAAAGCACUUUAAGCGAGGAGGAGGCUCCUGUAGUUAAUACCUACAGAGAGUGGACGUUACUCGCAGAAU
rnacentral:rRNA from 1 species